rfam:Firmicutes bacterium CAG:129_59_24 Ley3_66761_scaffold_334, whole genome shotgun sequence.
CAUGCCCUGCGGGGUGCGUGAUAAGUUCUUUUUAAACCCACAUUUCGUCAUAAGGGACGCCGGUACGCUCCGGUGGUUUGCAGGCCUCCCGGCUGCCGUCUGCGGCUGGACGUUGGAAGCAAUGAAGCCGGACAGAGGCGACCCACCUGUCCAGAAUGGUGCAGGUUUUGACGGGGCUUACACGGCCGCUGCGGGGCAUCU